AGCGAACGCUGGCGGCAGGCCUAACACAUGCAAGUCGAACGGAUCCUUCGGGAUUAGUGGCGGACGGGUGAGUAACACGUGGGAACGUGCCCUUUGGUUCGGAACAACUCAGGGAAACUUGAGCUAAUACCGGAUGUGCCCUUCGGGGGAAAGAUUUAUCGCCAUUGGAGCGGCCCGCGUCUGAUUAGCUAGUUGGUGGGGUAACGGCCCACCAAGGCGACGAUCAGUAGCUGGUCUGAGAGGAUGAUCAGCCACACUGGGACUGAGACACGGCCCAGACUCCUACGGGAGGCAGCAGUGGGGAAUCUUGCGCAAUGGGCGAAAGCCUGACGCAGCCAUGCCGCGUGAAUGAUGAAGGUCUUAGGAUUGUAAAAUUCUUUCAGCGGGGACGAUAAUGACGGUACCCGCAGAAGAAGCUCCGGCUAACUUCGUG
rnacentral:rRNA from 1 species